GGAGAGGUACCGAAGUGGUCGUAACGGGCCGCUCUCGAAAAGCGGUUGGGCGUAAGCUCACGUGGGUUCGAAUCCCACCCUCUCCG
rnacentral:tRNA from 1 species